UCAUUGUCAGAAGGAGGGGCUGUGGAACUGCAUAAAGAUGUUCAGGUGGCAGCUGUUUCUGAAAUAGUGGAAUUCCUUUCUCUGUUAUUUCAGUUGAUCCUUUUGUCAAGAUGAUGCUCCACUCAUCUGUCAUCUUUUUAGCUUUAUUAGAAUCUGUUAAUGGAGAUUCAAUAAACCCUAAGAAAACACAGGAGCAGAUUGUGGAGGAAAGUAAUGUCAAUCUGACCUGCAAUUAUGAUGGCACCAUUUACAAUAUACAGUGGUACCGCCAGUAUCCACAAUGUAAACCAGAAUUCCUUCUCUCCAUCACAGAAGACGGGUCCAUAAUUAAAGCUACCACACCAUUUCCUCGUCUGUCAUCUUACAUUCACAAGAAAGACAAGCUUGUGCAGCUGGAGAUUUCAGCUGCUGAAGUGACAGACUCUGCUCUGUACUACUGUGCAAUGACGCCCACAAUGACAGGAAAUGUAGACUCACCGUACAAAAACCUCAAGUAAACCCUUAGAAGCAAUGUUUCAGUUGAGAGACAUAAUACACUGAUCCUGGAAACCUUGUACCUAGAACUUUAUUAUGAAUGUCGUGGAGUAAUCUUCCCAAGUAAACAAAUACAUUGUGUACCGUCCAAAACUGUUGACUCUUUGAGCAAUACUUGUAUCUUCUAAUUUCUCAUUUAUAUAAUAUUCUGUGAUAUGAGUCACACUCAAACAAUACUUCCACAGAUAAUUAAUAUUUUGAUACUGUGUCAAAUACAUGAGAUCAAUAUAGAUAGACAGAUAGAUAGACAGAUAGAUAGAUAGACAGAUAGAUAGAUAGACAGAGAGAUUGAUUAUUUGAAGAUUAGAAGGAGUGACCUCUAAGUAAUCAGACAAUGAACAAUUAAAAAGUGUCUAUGUGGUGCUUAGUAUUUGCAGUUUGUCAGUACCUUAUUUCAGUAUUUAAGUCUGAAGUGUGCUUGGUGACACACACUAUGUCUUGUACCAUGCACUACCAUCUUCAUUAAUGACACCAAAGGGAGGGGCUAAUGUUCG